rnacentral:rRNA from 1 species
GACGAACGCUGGCGGCGUGCUUAACACAUGCAAGUCGAACGGAAAGGCCCUGCUUUUGUGGGGUGCUCGAGUGGCGAACGGGUGAGUAACACGUGAGUAACCUGCCCUUGACUUUGGGAUAACUUCAGGAAACUGGGGCUAAUACCGGAUAGGAGCCCCUGCUGCAUGGUGGGGGUUGGAAAGUUUCGGCGGUUGGGGAUGGACUCGCGGCUUAUCAGCUUGUUGGUGGGGUAGUGGCUUACCCAGGCUUUGACGGAUAGCCGGCCUGAGAGGGUGACCGGCCACAUUGGGACUGAGAUACGGCCCAGACUCCUACGGGAGACAGCAGUGGGGAAUAUUGCACAAUGGGCGGAAGCCUGAUGCAGCAACGCCGCGUGCGGGAUGACGUCCUUCGGGUUGUAAACCGCUUUCGCCUGUGACGAAGCGUGAGUGACGGUAAUGGGUAAAGAAGCACCGGCUAACUACGUG